UUCCAGCUGACGAGUCCCAAACAGAACGAAACGCGCGUCCUGGAU
rfam:Schistosoma haematobium scaffold1040_6, whole genome shotgun sequence.